GCCCCCGUAGCUCAGUCGGUUAGAGCGUGGUACUUAUAAUGCCAAGGCCGCGGGUUCGAGUCCCGCCGGAGGCA
rnacentral:tRNA from 2 species